ACCCUACUAUGCCUAGCCGUAACACACAAUUAAACUACGAAUUGUUCGCCAAACAACUACGAGCCAUACUUGAAACUUAAAAGACUUGACGGUACUUCAUCACGACCUAGAGGAGCCUGUCUAAUAACCGACAAUCCACGAUUAACCCAGCCCCUUCUUGCCAACAGUCUAUAUACCACCGUCGCCAGCUUACCUUGUAAAAGAAAUAAAGUGAGCUAGAUAGUACAACACUAAAACGACAGGUCGAGGUGUAACUUAUGAAGGGGACCAAGAUGGGCUACAUUCUCCAACCGAGAAUACGAAUAACACUAUGAAACUAAUGUUUGAAGGCGGAUUUAGCAGUAAGAUAAGAAUAAAACACUUAACUGAACACAACGCAAUGAAGUGCGUACACACCGCCCGUCAUCCCUGCACCACAAUAUAAACCUUAAUAAACUAACCUAGAAAAAUCAAACA
rnacentral:rRNA from 1 species